UACGUAGGGUGCAAGCGUUAAUCGGAAUUACUGGGCGUAAAGCGUGCGCAGGCGGUUUUGUAAGUCAGAUGUGAAAUCCCCGGGCUUAACCUGGGAACUGCGUUUGAAACUACAAGGCUAGAGUGUGGCAGAGGGGGGUGGAAUUCCACGUGUAGCAGUGAAAUGCGUAGAGAUGUGGAGGAACACCGAUGGCGAAGGCAGCCACCUGGGUUAACACUGACGCUCAGGCACGAAAGCGUGGGGAGCAAACAGG
rnacentral:rRNA from 1 species